rnacentral:rRNA from 1 species
GAUGAACGCUGGCGGCGUGCCUAACACAUGCAAGUCGAGCGAUUUACUUCGGUAAAGAGCGGCGGACGGGUGAGUAACGCGUGGGUAACCUGCCCUGUACACACGGAUAACAUACCGAAAGGUAUGCUAAUACGAGAUAAUAUGCUUUUAUCGCAUGGUAGAAGUAUCAAAGCUUUUGCGGUACAGGGUGGACCCGCGUCUGAUUAGCUAGUUGGUAAGGUAACGGCUUACCAAGGCGACGAUCAGUAGCCGACCUGAGAGGGUGAUCGGCCACAUUGGAACUGAGACACGGUCCAAACUCCUACGGGAGGCAGCAGUGGGGAAUAUUGCACAAUGGGCGAAAGCCUGAUGCAGCAACGCCGCGUGAGCGAUGAAGGCCUUCGGGUCGUGAAGCUCUGUCCUCAGGGAAGAUAAUGACGGUACUUGAGGAGGAAGCCCCGGCUAACUACGUGCCAGCCGCCGCGGUAACAC